UACGGGGGGGGCAAGCGUUGUUCGGAAUUACUGGGCGUAAAGGGCUCGUAGGCGGCCAACUAAGUCAGACGUGAAAUCCCCAGGCUCAACCUGGGAACUGCGUCUGAUACUGGAUGGCUUGAAUCCGGGAGAGGGAUGCAGAAUUCCAGGUGUAGCGGUGAAAUGCGUAGAUAUCUGGAGGAACACCGGUGGCGAAGGCGGCAUCCUGGACCGGUAUUGACGCUGAGGCGCGAAAGCUAGGGGAGCAAACGGG
rnacentral:rRNA from 1 species